rnacentral:lncRNA from 1 species
CUCCUGGAAUGCGAGAAAGGUCUAACGGAACAUCCUGGGAAAGGUCUAACGGAACAUCCUGGUAAAGUGUGCGGCUCGUACUCGGUGCUGUGUCGAGGUUGAGAAAUUCAGGAGGCGUCUUUCCGUCGUUUCUUUCUUCGGCCAUGUCUGAUGUUGCGACUAGCCAGUACUGACGUCUCUUAUUAACAGCGUAUUGCCGAGCCCCAACGCAUGCGCAU